rnacentral:rRNA from 1 species
CCUACGGGGGGCUGCAGUGGGGAAUUUUGGACAAUGGGCGCAAGCCUGAUCCAGCCAUGCCGCGUGCGGGAAGAAGGCCUUCGGGUUGUAAACCGCUUUUGUCAGGGAAGAAACGGUUCGGGCUAAUACCUCUAACUAAUGACGGUACCUGAAGAAUAAGCACCGGCUAACUACGUGCCAGCAGCCGCGGUAAUACGUAGGGUGCAAGCGUUAAGCGGAAUUACUGGGCGUAGUUAGGCAGCAGGGGGGUGAAAUCCCCGGGCUCAACCUGGGAACUGCAUUUGUGACUGCAUGACUUGAGUACGGUAGAGGGGGAUGGAAUUCCGCGUGUAGCAGUGAAAUGCGUAGAUAUGCGGAGGAACACCGAUGGCGAAGGCAAUCCCCUGGACCUGUACUGACGCUCAUGCACGAAAGCGUGGGGAGCAAACAGGAUUAGAUACCCCAGUAGUC